rnacentral:tRNA from 1 species
GCCUGACUGGCUCAGUGGGUAGAGCAUGUGACUCUUAAUCUUGGGGUUGUAAGUUUGAGUCCCACAUUGGGUC